UGGGAAGUAGAUCAGAUGAUAAUCAGGAAAAAGGUUUGUAAAGUAUGGCGUCAGAUAAAAUGGAUAUUAUACAAUUGGCUGUAAAUACUGCAAGAUAAUUACUGUUUUUGGUUUUGCAACAUCUGCUACAAAUUUACAAAAAAACAUAGUAUUCAUAAAAAAAUUAAUAUGGUUAUGAAUACUUAAUCUAUGGUUAUGAUAUAAAGUUUCUGUUCAAGUUAUUAUAAAUCUUAGGAUGUGUUUUAAGGUGUAAUAAAAUAAUCCUGUGAUUCCAGUAACAUGCUUGAUAUAAAUAGUAAUGUUUUUGUCGAGCCUUCGACUUUUGUCAAAAAAGCGAGACAUAGGGAUCCUACAUUCUGUCGGCGGCAGCGUCCACAAAUAUUCACUCUGUGGUUAAAGUUUUUGAAAUUUUAAUAACUUUCUUAAACUAUCCUGGAUUUCUACCAAACUUGGACAGAAGCUUGUUUAUGAUCAUAAAAUAGUAUCCACAAGUAAAUUUAAUAAAAAAAAAAAAAAAUCCAGUUUUUCCAUAUUUUACUUAUAAAUGGACUUAGUUUUUUCUACCAGGAAACAUUAAAUUCACUCUGUGGUUAAAGUUUUAAAAAUUUUAAUAACUUUCUUAAACUAUCCUGGAUUUGUACCAAACUUGGACAGAAGCUUGUUUAUGAUCACAAGAUAGUAUCCAGAAGUAAAUUUAGUAAAAAAAAAUUAUUUUUUCCCGUAUUUUACUUAUAAAUGGACUUAGUUUUUCUGCCAGGAAACAUUAUACAUUCACUCUGUUGUUAAAUUUUUUGAAAUUUUAAUAACUUUCUUAAACUAUCCAGAAAUUUUACCAAAUUUGGACAGAAGCUUGUUUAUGAUAUAAAGAUUGUAUCCAGGAGAAAAUUUUGUAAAGUAUUUAUUUCUGUUUUUCUGUUUUUUACGUAUAAAUGGACUCAACAUUGCAUUCACUAUGUGCAUUCACCUAUCACACUGAAAAUAUAGACAACAUCAAAAGUAGGCCAGACACUGGGUUCCGCGGAACCCUUACAAAUUUUUAUAUAUCUUUCAAAACCUUUUACGAGGUCAUAUAGGGGAAUCAUUGUGACCAACAGGGCCUGCUUUUAUAUAGUAAAAAACACAAUUUUGGCACAAAAGAUUAGGUUCAGUCGAACAACCCUUACCGCCAGACUGUUUUUUAUUUCACGUAAGUUAUGAUAAUAAUAUCAAAUUUUAUUAGCUGACUGUUCGGGCCAACUGAGCUUUUCUCAUCACUUGGCGUCCGACGUCUGUAGUCUGUCGUUAACUUUUACAAAAAUCUUCUCCUCUGAAACUACUGGGCCAAAUUUAACCAAACUUGGCCACAAUCAUCAUUGAUGUAUCUAGUUUAAAAUUUGUGUUUUUUGACCUGGUCAACAAACCAAGAUGGCCGCCAUGGCUAAAAAUAGAACAUAGGGGUAAAAUGCAGGUUUUUGCCUAUAACUCAAAAACCAAAGCAUUUAGAGCAAAUCUGACAUGGGGUAAAAUUGUUAAUCAGGUCAAGAUCUAUCUGCCCUGAAAUUUUUAGAUGAAUCAGACAACCCAUUGUUGAGUUGCUGCCCCUAAAUUGGUAAUUUUAAGGAAAUUUUACUGUUUUUGGUUAUUAUCUUGAAUAUUAUUAUAGAUGGAGAUAAACUGUAAACAGCAAUAAUGUUCAGCAAAGUAAGAUUUACAAAUAAGUCAACAGGACCAAAAUGGUCAGUUGACCCCUUUAGGAGUUAUUGCCCUUUUUAGUCAAUUUUUAUCCAUUUUUCGUAAAUCUUAGUUAACUUUUACAAAAAUCUUCUCUGAAACUACCGGGGCAAAUUUUACCAAACAUAGCCAGAAUCAUUAUUAGGCUAUCUAGUUUAAAAAUUGUGUUUUGUGACUGGACAAACCAACCAAGAUGGCCGCUACGGCUAAAAAUAGAACAUAUGGGUAAAAUGCAGUUUUUGGCUUAUAACUCAAAAACCAAAGCAUUUAGAGCAAAUCUGACAAGGGGUAAAAUUGUUUAUCUGGUCAAAAUCUAUCUGCCCUGAAAUUUGUAGAUGAAUCGGACAACUGGUUGUUAGGUUGCUGCCCCUAAAUUGGUAAUUUUAAGGAAAUUUUGCUGUUUUGGGUUAUUAUCACAAACACAUCACAAUCACCUAAACACAAUUUUGUCAUGAACUGUCUGCUUCCUUUGUUUAAUUCACAUAUGCCAAGGUGAGCGACACAGGCUCUUUAUUAGAGCCUCUAGUUACAAUUACACAUAUUAUUUUCAUGAAGUUUUUUUUGUUUGAUACUUAUCAGUUGAAAUUACAUAAUUCCAAUAUUUAGACCUUAAAUUUUAAGACCAGGUUUAUAUAUACGUGUAACCAUAGGCAGAAAUUCUUUGAAUUAUAAAACAUUAAGAAUAUAUACAAUAGAAAUAUCAGUAUGAAAUUGUAUCACAUGACACCAUUCUUGGAUGCAUGCAAUAUUUACAUUUUAUUGGAAAAUCUUGACAGAGCAAACCCUUGUAUUAGAUAUCCAUUUGAAACCCAAGGUUGAGGAAGAAAUUCCCAGUAGUCCGUCAGAAAAUGAGUUUGUCAACGAUACAUUCCAAUCCAAAAGUUUGUGGGUUGGUUAGCAGGAAACUAGGGUAUUAUUUUUUUUGGCCUCGCUUUUGAUAUUUAAGAAUAAUAACUUUUCCAUGAAGUUUUGCCUUACAAAUGAAUUGAGAAAACUUGCAUCAUAGUCGUUUGAUAUUGAAUGUAAUUUGCAUUUAAACUAAUACUAAAUCUUUUCCAGAAUUAGAGACAGAUAGAACCAUUAUGUGGUCAAGACUACCUGGAAUUCCAAGUAAAAUGAAAUGGCCUGUCCUUGUAUACCAUGAUAGUGUGCACAAGAACAUGAUUGAUGUAUUUUGUAAAGCUGAUGAUGCAGUGUAAGCAAAUAAUUUUAUUACAAAUUAUGUUAACUCGUAAGGUUUUUAUAUGACCCCUUAGUCAGGCAGUGGCUGCUCUCUAUGUUUUGUAUCUGUUACUGUUUUCAAUAUUAAACAGGCCAACAGUGUUCUCCCCAGGGCCUUUUGCAUCAUGGUAAUGUGAUGCUAUAUUUCUUGAAUGUGAUGCUAUCUGAAUUGGUUUUCUUAUAGAUUAUGUUAUGGAUGUGAUGCUAUAUUUUUUAGAAACAAGAUGGUACUAUAUUUCAAAUGUCCCUGUUUACAAGGAUGCUAAAUGAAAUAUCUGGGGAGAACACUGCCCGAAAAAUGUCAUAUUGUGGGGCAUUGCAAAUUUUUAUCGUUCUGAUUUUGAUUCGAUUUUUAUCAUUUGAUUCCUCUCACAGUCUUGCGAAAUUCCAGAAACCUGUAUCUGACAUUCGGUCAGACAAACUGACAUCUUCUGUCUGACUUCUAGUUUGGAUGAUGCAUGUUUAAGUUUGCUUCAGUCAGCAUAAAGAGCAGGUAUAUUUUACCAAGCAUAUUGUACCAAAUUGAUCAUAAACUAUAGCAUAUAGCAUAAUAUAUAUACAUGUAGGUUUACAGUGAAGAUGGUUAAUCUUGAGCCAUUCUUGAGAUCUUUGAGAAGUUCUUGGGAGCAGAUUGGAAUGAGUAUUUAUGCUUUUAUAACAUUUUGAUCAAAGUUAACUUUUAGCAUGUUUUACUUGAGAGAAACAGAGGAAACAGUUGUGAAUACUUCAAAUCAUUUGAUCAAAGAAUGCAAACAAUACAUAUAUAUGUUUACAGCAUUUAAAUUGUAUUGAAUGAUUCUUUUUAAUUCAUAUUGAAUGGAAAGAUUGAUGAAAAAGAACUUUUCUUACUGAAAAAAAAAAGAUCAAGGAAAGUUAAAUACUAAACAUUUUUUAUGUAACUAUUCAACUAUGGCUUUUGAUUUGAUCAUUUGGUUAAGUACAAGUAACUGUUUCAAUCUUUAAACUGGACAUGGCUGAAGACUUAGUUUUACAUAAUACUAGACAACAUUCAAUUUUAUCCAUGUACUGUACUUUCAUGUCUUUGGACUCUACUAAGUUCAUGAAUGAUUUGUGGCAAAGUUUACAUGACGACUAACUCUUCAAAAUAAAUGAAUUUACUAACAGGUCUUCAGCCAUGAAAGUGAUUAAGAUGUUGGUCAUUUUUACAAUUGAAUUAAUUUGUAAGUUAAUAAUUGAAAAUAUUCUACGAGUGACCGAACAACAAAAUAAUUCAGCAGUGCUCAUAAGAGUUAUUAUUGUUGUUCCGUCACAAGUGGUAUAUUUUCAAAAAUCAAAUUAAAUUGUUAAUUAUGUUUUUAUAAAUAGAUCACAAAACAUGAUUAAAAAAUGUCUUAUUCCAGUAGUAUUCAUGAUAAAUAACAUCAAACAUGAGCGUAUGAUUAUAAAAAAAACCAAAUAUGACUGCAUCCAAUUUAAGUACCUUAUUGCGGCAAAUUUUUGUGAGGUUCAUAGUUUUGCCCUUUUUAUGAGGUUUUACGUAAAUGUGUAAAAAUAAAUUGCUUAAUUCUCUUACAUGCCAACUAUUUCGAUUUUUCCAUAAUAUUUUAUGAAUUUUGGGUCAAUUUACGGUUAUAAUGUUGUAAAAAUUUGAAACUGCAAAAAUUACCCAAUGCACUAUAAAGUAUAUUGCAUUUCACAUUCUUAUAAUCGAUAAUUCUGAAAAGUUAAAAGGGCAAAACUGAGAAUAAAUUUGGUACAUUUUGCAAAAAUAUGCUGAGAAAAGACAUAAAAAGUUUCAUGAGUGAAUAAUCAACCGAUAAGUGAUGAUAUCAGAUUCAUCUGAGAAAUUUCAGUAUUUCUUUGUCAUCUAUAUAAUAAUAUAUAUUUGUUUCAAUAUGUUCAUUGCAUGACUGUUAUCACUUAUUUCAGUGUAUUAUCCAGAAAGGGUUUGUCUGUUUUUAGUCCCCUAACGGCGAAGCCAAAGGGGACUAGGUUUGCACUUUGUCAGUCUGUCUGUCGGUCCCCACAAAUCAGUUUUUCCCCACUUUUUUUUAUUGUGCUUGAAGAUAUUGAUUUGAUAUUUUGUAUAAUGUUUCAUUUUGACCAGUUACAGAUCAAGUUCAAAUUUUGUUCCGAUCUGAUGAUUUUAGUGUCUCGCCUGCGACAAAAUUUAAGUCGCAUAGUUAGACAUAAGUAUUACUAUCCGGCGGUGGCGUAAACUAUUUGUAUAAAGCUUUAUAUUUCAGAAGGUAGAAGACUAGCUUGGAUGCUUCAUACCUUGUAUGCAGAUACCUUAUGUCAUGAACUUUCCGUCUGUCGUAUGACCAUUGUCCUUGACUUAUUUUCAUGGUUCAGUGACUGCUUGAAAAAAAGUUUAGUUUUUUUGUUAUGGGAAUUUCUCACUUAUAAUAAGUAAUGGGAUAACUAUAUUUGGUAUAUGGGUUCAUUUCAAGGUCUACAUGUCCAUCAGACAAGAUUCACCUGACCUCGACCUCAUUUCUUGGAUAAGUGAUCAAGGUUAAAGUUACGUGAAUAGGUCCGUUUGUCAGAUACUGAAAGCAGUAUGUCAAAUAUAUUUGGUGUAUGGAAUGAUUGUAAGGUGAACAUGUUUGUCUGGCAGGUGUCAUUUGUCCUUGACCUCAUUUUCAUGGUUCAUUGGUCAAUGGUAAGUUUUUGUGUUUUGAUCUGUUUUUCUAAAACUAUAAGCAAUAGGUCAACUAUAUUUGGUGUAUGGAAUGAUUGCAAGGUGUAAUGUCUGUCUGGCAGGUGUCAUAUGUCCUAUCUCAUUUUCGUCGUUCAUUGGUCAAUGUUAAGUUUUAUGUUUUUGUCUGUUAUUCUAAUACUAUAAUCAAUAGGUCCACUAUAUUUGGUGUAUGGAAUGAUUGUAAGGUGUACAUGUCUGUCUGGCAGGUGUCAUUUGUCCAUGACCUCAUGUUCAUGGUUCAUGGUCAAUGUAAAGUUUUUGUGUUUUGGUCUGUUUUUCUAAGUUACUAUAAGCAAUAGGUCCACUAUAUUUGGUGUAUGGAAUGAUUGUAAGGUGUACAUGUGUGUCUGGCAUGGUUUAUCUGACCAGGACCUCAUUUUCAUGGAUCAUUGAUAAUUUUAAGUUUAUGUGAUACUUGUAGUAAAACUUUUAUCAUUAGGACUAUCAACAUAAAAUUAAUCAAGGUUAGGAAAGCAGGCGAGACAUUUCAGCGUGUGGACUCUUGUGCAGAGUUGUGGUCCUUCGACUUAGAAAAUUCACGUAAAUAACUAGUUAUCUGCACUUUUUUCGUCAUGCUUGAAGAUAUUAAUUUGAUAUUUGGUAUAUAGUUUUAAUAUGACCAGUUACAGAUCUAUUUUGAAUUCUGUAUAAUACAUAGUAGAUAUUCUGCUAAGUAUCCUGAAUAUAUGGGAUCAAAGACCUAAAAAAAGUACCAUUUUCAUCGUUAUAUUAUUUCACUUUGAAAAAAAACCCAUUAUAUUCACGGUAGUUUAUUUAUGAACUGUGACACUUUAGCAGUCAAAAAUAUAUAUGCAAAUAUAUAAAAAAGAAGAUUUGUGUUAAUGCCAAUGAACAACCUAAACAAGAGACAGAAAUGACACAGAAAUUAACAACUAUAGGUCACCGUACGGCCUUCAACAAUGAGCAAAGCCCAUACCGCAUAGUCAGCUAUAAAAGGCCCCGAAAUAACAAAUGUAAAACAAUUCAAACGAGAAAAGUAACGGCUAAAUAAAUGUACAAAUAAAUGAACGAAACACAUAUGUACACAAACGACAACCACUGAACAGGCUCCUGACUUGGGACAUAUGUAAAUAAUGUGCGGGGUUAAACCAGUUUAGCGCGAUCCCAUUCCUCCCCCUACUUGGACAGUGGUGUAACAGUACAACAUAUAGGAACGAACUAUAAAAAUCAGUUUGAAAAAGCUUAACUCAUCAGAUGGAUAGAAACAUCUAACAAAAACGAGUGGCUUCAGCACUUAUACAUCCCAACAACAAAAAGACUAUUAGUACCGAUUUGAGAUUACUCGCAGUUACUGACAGCUAGUUCAAAGCCAAAAACAACUAAUAAAAAAAAUCAUGCAUCUAAAACUAAUAUGCAGAUGUAUGUUGUGAUACUUGACAAGCAUUCUGGUCUUUAGCCUCAAUUGGAGCAAAAAAAUGACUAUUUUAUGAAGAAAAUAGAAAAUGUCGUGUUUGUUAUAUUGUUAUAUAAUGAGAUUUGACUGUUUAUAAAAGAUGUCUGAUUUUUGAAUUCAAGGACCUAUACAGGCAUGACUUUUUGUCGAGCCUUCGACUUUAGUCGAAAAAGCGAGACUAAGCGAUCCUACAUUCUGGCGGCGGCGUCAACAAAUAUUCACUCUGUGGUUAAAGGUUUUGAAAAUUUUAUAACUUUCUAAACUAUCCUGGAUUUCUACCAAACUUGGACAGAAGCUUUCUUUUGAUCAUAAUAGUAUCCAGAAAAGUAAAAAAUAAAUAUUCCAGUUUUUCCGAAUUUUUACUUAAAAUGGACUUUUUUUCUACUUGGGAAACAACACAUCACUCUGUGGUAAAGUUUAGAAUUUUAAUAACUUUCUUAAACUAUCCUGGGUUUGUACCAAACUUGGACAAAAGCUUGUUUAUGAUCAUAAGAUAGUAUCCAGAAGUAAAUUUUGUAAAAAAAAUAAAUCCAUUCUAUUUGUCUUUUAGUUUCCAAGCACAGCUCCUAAUAUAACAAUAAGGAGAUGUGGUUAAUUGUCAAUAAAACAACUAUCCAUCAAAAUUCAAAAGAAGUAGAUGUACAAGCAAUUAUAGGCAACCAAAAACUCUUCAUCCAUGAGAAAACCAUGUUUUGUUUAGGGCCUUUCCAGAAUUGUGUUGGGGAAGGAAGGCACCUGUAUUAAAAUUUGAUGGGUGGUGGGUAUUUAAAAAAGAUUACUUGAACAUUUAAAUGAAAUAUCCAAUUUGAAAUGCAUGCAUGGUGGGGUCAAAUAGUCCAGUAGUCAGCACUAUGUGCUGUCAGACAUGAAUUAUCAUUUAUAUUAUUAUAUUUAUAAAUUUACUGUUUACAAAAUUUUGAAUUUUUGAAAUACUAAGGCUUUUGGUAGAAUUUAAUUAAACCUUAAACAUUGUCAAAAAAGGCUGUUCACCAAAAUGUUAAAAACUGAAAGUAUCAAUUUAAUAAUUGUCAUUUGUUUUGCAUGCUCUUUACAUUGUGAAGGUUAUUUGUAUUGCAAUUUCUAAGUCACAUUUAACAUGUUUAAGAGUUUUUUUUCAAAAAUUUGCUGCUGCAAGGUAAUAGAGUCUACAGUUAUUUGCUUAGAGUCAGAAUAAUGUAUUCAAAUGGGAUAACAGGCCUUAUGCAUCAAAACAUCAGUGCUUUUCCUUCUUAUUCUGUUUGAAAAACCGAGUAUGUAAAACUUUAAAAAAAAAAGAUUUUGCUCGCUCCUGUUGCAGACCACUCACCUGUCAAAAACUCAUUUUCAAGAAUUUUUUUAAAACAAAAAAAAUUAGCUCGCUUGCCCCAUUUUUUUUUUUAGAGCAAGUGUUCAAAGAACUAUUUAUCAAAUUGGUGUGGCCUAAUCAUCACUUUUCAUACUACAUUUUAAUUUUUAUACACCCGUCUUGAAAUUAUGGUAUAUCUCUGUCCAUCGUCAACAUGUUGCACAAUAACUCGAAAGUGCUUUCACUAGUUUCUGUGAAACUUGUUUAUAUCUAUUGACGUGCUAAUAUAAACUUCUAAUACAGACAAUGUUGCAAAAUAAUGUCUGAACGUAAUAUUUGAAUAUUUGUAUCAAAAGGGAAAUUUGCAAUUGACAUAUAAUUGAGCCUUGAUUCUAUAAGUAUAUUUGUGAGGAAUAUCUCUAAAUUGGAAAAAUAAAAUAAAAUAAAAAUACCAAGCACUUGAAAUGAGUUCAUGUACAAAAUCCAUGUGUGAUCCCAUUUAGUUUCACUUUGCAUAUUUCUUUUUUUAUUUACAGAAUGCUUGUCAAAAAAAGAAAAAACCCUCAAAUAUUGUUGAGGGGGGAUAGGACCUUUAUCGGGACUCCGGGAUCGGGUGUUUUUAAGCUCGGGAUUUCGGAAUUUACCCCUUCGGGAUCAAGGAAUUCUUUUUUUCAAAUUUCGGGAUCCGGGAUUUAUUUUUUUUUAAAUUCGGGACCUCGGGAUAUCGUGUUUUUAAGCCCGGGAUUUCGGGAUCAAGACCCCUCCUACCCCCC
rnacentral:lncRNA from 1 species